rnacentral:rRNA from 1 species
CCUACGGGGGGCAGCAGUGAGGAAUAUUGGUCAAUGGGCGGGAGCCUGAACCAGCCAAGUCGCGUGAGGGAUGACGGCCCUAUGGGUUGUAAACCUCUUUUGCCGGGGAGCAAAGUGCCGCACGUGUGCGGUUUGGAGAGUACCCGGAGAAAAAGCAUCGGCUAACUCCGUGCCAGCAGCCGCGGUAAUACGGAGGAUGCGAGCGUUAUCCGGAUUUAUUGGGUUAAAGGGUGCGCAGGCGGUCUGUUAAGUCAGCGGUCAAAGCCCGGGGCUCAACCCCGGCCCGCCGUUGAAACUGGCAGUCU